CUGGUUUUUAAUCUUCACCGAACCCUGGCCAGAUCCAAAAGUUUUCUUCGAUUUUUCCCUAUCUCUGCCGCAUUAAAAAAAGGUUUUCGAUCUUCUCUUUUGGUGAAUCAAUUGUAAAAAAAGGAUUUCAAUGGAAGCAAAAGGAAUCAUAUGUGGCCUCCCAGCAAAGAACGUGAUACCGAAAAUCAAACAAAAAGGUGAGCAAGGUGAAAAUCAAACAAAAAGGUGAGCAAGGUGAAGGAAGUUCCGAGGAUGAUGAUGUGAAGGAGAUAACAAGGCUACAGUACAGAAAAUCUCUCGCUCACCUAGACUACUUAAUACGCAUCAAGGAAGACGAAGAAGACAUUGACCCACUGUACAUGAGAAUUAUCCGAGACAUCCAAAAAAAAUGCCCAAAAGUAGAAGGAUCCUCACGAUCUGGUAACGCUCCUUGAAGAUUGUACUGUUACAAUUUAUUGUCUUUGUUAUUUUGUAAACUUUGUUAACUUUCUACAUGUAUGUUUAGACUUCCUCAACUUUUAAUAUUAUCGGA